GUGCAUCUAUCUAUAAUGGUGAAUUAUGUAGCAGGACAUUAUCGAGAGAAUUGGUAUCGUUUUUAAGCUAAUCCCACGUUUCUUGCUCUAUUUUUUAAAUGUAUAUAAAAUAGAUGUUAAUAAAUUAAUAAAAUUAAAUAUUUUUUUAAAAAGAAAUUGUAUCCGUGCAUGACAUGAGGUUACAAGCAAGUUCGGAAAUAAAAGCCGGG
rnacentral:lncRNA from 1 species